GCCUGUGUGGUGUAGUGGUUUGGAUGUUGGACUGUGGCUCAGGAGACCAGGGUUUAAUUCCCUGCUCAGGCA